rnacentral:lncRNA from 1 species
GUCUGAUGUAAGCCCAGCGAUUGGCAUUUGGUUUCCCGUCUGUUGUUGCUUGUUUGCGGAGUCUGAUGUAAGCCCAGCGAUUGGCAUUUGGUUUCCCGUCUGUUGUGGAUUAUUUGUGGAAUCUGAUGUAAGCCCAUUGAUUGGCAUUCAGUUUCCUUGUGCUGUUUGUGUUUUUUGUUCGGAGUCGUACGUAAGCCCAGCCAUUGGCAG